UAGAUACUCCCUCCGUCCGCAAUUACUUGUCGCGGAAAUGAAUAAAAAUGGAUGUACUUAAAACUAAAAUACAUCUAGAUGCAUCCAUUUCUCCGACAAGAAAUUCGGGACGGAGGGAGUACAAG
rfam:Hordeum vulgare subsp. vulgare, WGS project CAJW01000000 data, contig: morex_contig_104700